UACGUAGGGCGCAAGCGUUGUCCGGAAUUAUUGGGCGUAAAGAGCUCGUAGGCGGUCUGUCGCGUCGGCUGUGAAAACCCGAGGCUCAGCCUCGGGCCUGCAGUCGAUACGGGCAAACUAGAGUACUGCAGGGGAGACUGGAAUUCCUGGUGUAGCGGUGAAAUGCGCAGAUAUCAGGAGGAACACCGAUGGCGAAGGCGGGUCUCUGGGCAGUAACUGACGCUGAGGAGCGAAAGCGUGGGGAGCGAACAGG
rnacentral:rRNA from 1 species